AGAGCCAGUCAUGGCGGAGUCCUGGUCUGGGCAGGCCUUGCAGGCUCUGCCGGCCACGGUGCUGGGCGCGCUGGGCGCGCUAGGCAGCGAGUUCUUGCGGGAGUGGGAGGCGCAGGACAUGCGCGUGACCCUCUUCAAGCUGCUGCUGCUGUGGUUGGUGUUAAGUCUCCUGGGCAUCCAGCUGGCGUGGGGGUUCUACGGGAAUACAGUGACCGGGUUGUAUCACCGUCCAGGUGAGGCUUCCUACGAACCUCUGUGGGCUGGCCGCCCCCGCCCCCACCCUCUCCCUACUGUACCAUUGGGUUCCCCACUAUCCUGCAAGAGGCUCAUCAGAACUUAACAUUGGUUCACGGCCUUACCACCCUGAACGCAUCUGACCUCGGAAGCUAAGCCAGUCCCUUAGGACCCUCACCAGACUUCACCAAACAAUACCAGUGGUCUGUAACCUGACCUGGGCUGAUGCCUGCUCAGAUUCCCACCCCAGCCUUCUGCAGCUCUGGAUGUGUUUCUGCCUCCAGGUCUGGGUGGUCAGAAUGGAUCCACGCCUGAUGGCUCCACGCAUUUCCCUUCGUGGUGAGUAAAUCUGUCCAUACCGC
rnacentral:sRNA from 1 species